GGAGAAGUGGCGGAAUUGGUAGACGCACUCAAUACCAGAGCGAGUUCAGUGAAAAUCUGUAUGCAAGUAAUGUUGGACGCAUCAUGAAAGCAGACAUCUCAUCCCGGUUCGAGUCCGGGCUUCCCCA
rnacentral:tRNA from 1 species